rnacentral:lncRNA from 1 species
UAGACGCGUCCUUUGCACUCGCUGUCGAGUUUUGUCAUGGCCGUUUCUCGGUUACAUGUGUUUUUGUGACCCGAGUUGUAGUUAUCACGCGUACAAUUGACUCUGUAAUUUCUACAAUAAGGGUUUGUCUGUGUGUGGAUCUUCCCUGCUCCAAUUUGGAAAGAACAAUACAAGAUUGGAAAUAAAAUCUUAUCUUAUGUCAGCCAAUGGCUUUAUUUGGAAUUGAUCAUGGUCUGUUACAAAUUUUGAUGCUGUGAAGCUAAUUGGAGUAGUAAAAUUGAAAUGUUAAUGCUACCACUACCUCCGACCCAUUAAAAGUGUUGCAGUUUUGAACUAACCCCAGUUCAAAACUAGUUGAAAAUUGUGACACUUAUUUUGGGUCAGAGGGAAUAGGUUUUUUCUUGAGAUUUUUUUUUGUGCUCUUAGUGGUGGACAUGCUCAUCGCUUUCUGUCAGCUCCUGAGCCCGGCCCAGCAAGCCUGAUGGGAAGGUGGUAACAUUCAGCCCAAAUGACUUACUCCGUAAGUAUCAUGCCCCUUCCAUCUGUUUCCAUCGCAAAGCUAAACGGUGAUGAAUCUUGUUGUUUCUCUUGCGUGUAGAAUACAUAGUGGUGGGAAAUGUUAGUUACUCAUCAUGGUGGUGGACAUGCUCAUUGCUUUCUGUCAGCCCCAGAGCCCGGCCCAGCAAGCCUGAUGGGAAGGUGCUAACAUGUAGCCCAAAUAACUUGCUGUAAGUAUCAUGCCCCUUUUAUCUGUUUCUAUCAUAAAGCUAAAUGGUCAUGAAUCUUCUUGGUUCUCUACUUCUCUUGCGUGUAGAAUACAUCCAUCUGGAUGGCCUUUACUUUUCGAUCAAGCUCGUUCUUAUAUGCAUCUGCCUCUUGUUUGUGGGGGGCCUGGGGCAAAAAGAAGGAAAAUGAAAAAAAAUGGAGCUCCAAAAGCGCAAAGUGGUGGGCUGGAAGCGGUUGCUGUCGCUGAAUUUAUGCAGCUCCAAAACCAUCUUCUAUAUUUUGUUCAAGGUACUCUCUUCACCAACUUUUCAUGCAUAGCAGCCUUUAAAGCAAGCUGAAUAAUGCAUAUGGUGUUCUUGUCUCAGAGUAAAUCAGCUAAUAGCUCAGUAAUACGCCUCUUGGGAGGGAAAAAGGAGCAUGACAGGUGCUAUCUAUCCACCAUCUUAUAUACAUAUCUUACUUAUAAUUGCACUGGCAGAAGCACAGGUGUCCUUUCUCCAUUACCUUGUAGAGGUAGCAUAGUGGCUCUGCGGCAGCUUCUGCUCCCAUUAGCAGCGCGCCAGAGGUAUGAAAAUGCGGAAGCUUUCCUGCAGAUAAUGCCACUUAUGCACUUUUUUAGCAUCCACUCUAGCUCCACUUUAAAAAGCUGCCUGCGGCAACACAGUGCUUAGUGCUUGUUUAAUCCCUGGGCACACCAAACUGCCCCUUUGCCAUGAAAGAUCUAAACAGCAGCCUAGCUAACCGCUGCCUCCAUUAAGUAGCUAUACUAGUACGUAGUAGACAGAGAAAGAAAAAGAAAAGAAAAGAUCAAAAGAAGGGCAUGCAGUGAUUAGGGUUUCUUUUCUGCUUUUGUCUUUGUGUUUUCUUUUACAGUAGUAGUAUUUGCUGCUCUUCUCGAUCUCUGCUCGAGUCGUUUCUCAAACUGCGUAUAUACUUUUUCUCCCUUGAAGCGCUCCUUUUGGGGCGAAUGGCUUUGUGAUGAUUAGGGCUUGGCCCUUUUGCUUCCCUUUUGGGUCAUAUGUGACCAAAGAUUUCUUUGACUGUGACCACUACUAGCUCAGAUUAGUUUGAACACAUCAUACUGUGCACACACCACACUACUACACGGCAAUGCCAGAAUCCUAGAAAGAAGCUCAUAGCUUGCUCUCCUCAGGUACUAGGAGCUUAGGAGAAGAUAUAACUAACUGGUAAAUAGGUUUGUCUGGUACAUGCGGUUGUGAACAGAAAUUCACAAGCGCAUUGCAGCGAUGAAACUUAGAUGGGAUUGUGAUUGAUGAUUGAAUGAUAGGAUUUCUCUUGGGCCGGCGGCGUGAGCGGGAAGUCAUGCGUUUCUGAUCCUUUUGUUAUGGACGGCUGAUCACUCGGCCCCUUUUCGCUCUUCGUAUCCCCAUAAAGAACAUUGUCCGCGCACGACUUUUGAUGCAAAUGCACACAGUAAUGACCGGUCAAUGAUGCUGUUAACCUGGCUUUGUUACAUGCUUUGGCUUUUCCCUGACAGUUAAUUCUGCUCCUAGUGGCGCUAGCGUACGUACCAUUGCAAACCACUUGAACACUCCUGCUUCUAGGAGUUCUCCCUGGCUACGUACUAAUUGUUUGUACUUUGAAGGCGUUUGCAACUCAAACAUCACUAGAAAUACAUGCAUGCUGUUAUUAUUAGGUCAUUGUUAGAUCUCACAUGAACAUAGCAUACAUACAUAUAUAUUCUCUGCACUCUAGCUUAUAGCUAGCCUAUAGGGAGGCACAUUUCGAUCGGCACUGAAACCAGAGAACUAGUAGUACUAAUCUGGAGCUGAUCAACGAGCUCGUCAAUCCCUGAUGCGUCUAGCAACGCAGCCUGCUUUCAAGGGAGCAGGAAUGCCGAAAAGCCCCAGCUUUGCUGAACACCAUGUGGCUGUUUUAUGCGCCACUUUUUUGAGUCGUGUUUUAUGUGCCACUGGCCUGGCCUACUGCUGCCACUGGUAAUUUUUGCCACGCCAUGCCAUGCAUAUACUCCUCCACACCCACAUACACACAUCGAUCAUAUGGGCGUAGAGGGGAGUCGGAGUGCAUGCGCUUUAUUCCUUAUACUUUGAGUCUGGGGAGAAAGAGGCCGUACACAGUUCCCGAUUCUUUUAGGGCACAGAGAUCUCUCCCCGGAAAAAGAAAACCAAUUUGAACGGGGGCCCUCUCAAAAGAUGAGAGGUCACUGCAGGCAGGCCACAUCCGAUCGAUCGUAUCGAUCACAUAAAGCAUCACAUGUUGUAUCGUCAUCAUUGCUGCAUCGAUCAGACACAUUCUCUCUUCUUAAUGCGAUCAACUGUAUCACUAUACGACCGGGGAGUAUAUAUCAAAUAAAGGUGUAUGGACACCGUACUAGCACUGUGCAUUUCAGGCAUAUUCUUUUAUGUAUUUUGUUCUAGUUUGUCGCUUUGGGCUAUUUUUUUUUCUCGCCUACACAUAACUUUGGCUUGUAUGACUUUGCUAGUUGCCGACGUGUUUUCGUUUGUGUAUAUGUUGGCUGUGUGCAUCCUAGUUACGCGGAGAUCGGGUGUGUGCUCAUUGAGUUUUGUAUCCUCCUGAUGCUUCAUUUUGAGCUAAUAAAGUUCACUCUUUAUCAAAAAAGGAAGUUGAAUUUGUUAGCUUAACCGGAGACGGGACGUUUCCCACUAAACGAACAUCAUCGAAAAGCUUGAAAUAAAUUCAGGAUAAUGCGAGCACCAGUGCCAAGUCUAGUAUUUGAACCCUAGUGGACUUGCUGCACCAUAAGGAACCUAACCAUUUGAGCUAUGCUCAUUCGCAUUUGUUACUAAUUGUUGGUACUACAGUAAUGUUUUGUGAAGAUAUGUUAUAUGGGGUUUGCACGUAUAUGGUAGCUGUUGGGGAACGCAGUAAUUUCAAAUUUUUUCCUACGUACACGCAAGAUCAUGAUGAUGCAUAGCAACAAGAGGGAAGAGUGUUGUCCACGUACCCUCGUAGACCGUAAGCGGAAGCGUUAUGACAACACGGUUGAUGUAGUCGUACGUCUUCACGAUCGACCGAUGCUAGUACCGAAGUUACGACACCUCCGCGAUCUGCACACGUUCGGCUCGAUGACGUCCCACGAACUCACGAUCCAACAGAGUGUCGAGGGAGAGCUUCGUCAGCACGAUGACGUGAUGACGGUGAUGAUGAUGCUACCGAAACAGGCCUUCGCCUAAGUACCGCUAUGAUAUGACCGGGGUGGAUUAUGGUGGAGGGGGACACCGCACACGGCUAAGAGAUCAAUGAUUAACUUGUGUGUCUAUGGGGUGCCCCCUCCCUCGUAUAUAAAGGAGUGGAGGACGGGGAGGGCCGGCCCUCCUAUGGCGCGCCCCAUGGGGAGUCCUACUCCCACCGGGGGGAGGGGGCGCCCCCACCCAAUUCGGAUUGGGCUUGAGGGGGGCGCGCCCCCUCCUAGGCCUCCCUCUCUUCUCUCCCACUAUGGCCCAAUAAGGUCCAUAUACCUCCCGGGGGGUUCCGGUAACCUCCCGGUGCUUCGGUAUAUGCCCGAACUCACCCGGAACCAUUCCGACGUCCAAAUAUAGUCAUCCAAUAUAUCGAUCUUUAUGUCUCGACCAUUUCGAGACUUCUCAUCAUGUCCGUGAUCAUAUCCGGGACUCCGAACUACCUUAUGUACAUAAAAAACACAUAAACUCAUAAUACGGAUCGUCACCGAACGUUAAGCGUGCGGACCCUACGGGUUCGAGAACUAUGUAGACAAGACCGAGACACGUCUCCGGUCAAUAACCAAUAGCGGAACCUGGAUGCUCAUAUUGGUUCCUACAUAUUCUACGAAGAUCUUUAUCGGUCAAACCGCAUAAAAACAUACAUUAUUCCCUUUGUCAUCGGUAUGUUACUUGCCCGAGAUUCGAUCGUCGGUAUCUCAAUACCUAGUUCAAUCUCGUUACCGGCAAGUCUCUUUACUCGUUCCGUAAUGCUACAUCCCGUAACUAACUCAUUAGCUACAUUGAUUGCAAGGCUUAUAUUGAUGUGCAUUACCGAGAGGGCCCAGAGAUACCUCUCCGAUAAUCGGAGUGACAAAUCCUAAUCUCGAUCUAUGCCAACUCAACAAACACCAUCGGAGACACCUGUAGAGCACCUUUAUAAUCACCCAGUUACGUUGUGACGUUUGGUAGCACACAAAGUGUUCCUCUGGUAUUCGGGAGUUGCAUGAUCUCAUAGUCAUAAGAACAUGUAUAAGUUAUGGAGAAAGCAAUAGCAACAAACUAAACGAUCAUCGUGCUAAGCUAACAGAUGGGUCAAGUCAAUCACAUCAUUCUCUAAUGAUGUGAUUCCGUUAAUCAAAUGACAACUCAUGUCUAUGGUUAGUAAACAUAUAACCAUCAUUGAUUCAACGAGCUAGUCAAGUAGAGGCAAACUAGUGACACUCUGUUUGUCUAUGUAUUCACACAUGUACUAAGUUUCUGGUUAAUACAAUUCUAGCAUGAAUAAUAAACAUUUAUCAUGAUAUAAGGAAAUAUAAAUAACAACUUUAUUAUUGCCUCUAGGGCAUAUUUCCUUCAGUCUCCCACUUGCACUAGAGUCAAUAAUCUAGAUUACAUUGUAAUGAUUCUAACACCCAUGGAGUCUUGGUGCUGAUCAUGUUUUGCUCGUGAGAGAGACUUAGUCAAAGGGUCUGCAACAUUCAGAUCCGUAUGUAUCUUGCAAAUCUCUAUGUCUCCCUCCUUGACUUGAUCGCGGAUGGAAUUGAAGCAUCUCUUGAUGUGCUUGGUUCUCUUGUGAAAUCUGGAUUCUUUUGCUAAGGCAAUUGCACCAGUAUUGUCACAAAAGAUUUUCAUUGGACCCGAUGCACUAGGUAUGACACCUAGAUCGGAUAUGAACUCCUUCAUCCAGACUCCUUCAUUUGCUGCUUUUGAAGCAGCUAUGUAUACCGCUUCACACGUAGAUCCCGCCACGACGCUCUGCUUGGAACUGCACCAACUGACAGCUCCACCAUUUAAUAAAAAUACGUAUCCGAUUUGUGACUCAGAGUCAUCCAGACCAGUGUCAAAGCUUGCAUCGACGUAACCGUUUACGACGAGCUCUUUGUCACCUACAUAUACGAGAAACAUAUCCUUAGUCCUUUCCAGGUAUUUUAGGAUAUUGUUGACCGCUGUCCAGUGAUCCACUCCUGGAUUACUUUGGUAUCUCCCUGCUAAACUGAUAGCAAGGCACACAUCAGGUCUGGUACACAGCAUUGCAUACAUGAUAGAGCCUAUGGCUGAAGCAUAGGGAACACCUUUCAUUUUCUCUCUAUCUUUUGCAGUGGUCGGGCAUUGAGUCUGACUCAACUUCACACCUUGUAAUACAGGCAAGAACCCUUUCUUUGCCUGAUCAAUUUUGAACUUCAAAACUUUAUCAAGGUAUGUGCUUUGUGAAAGUCCAAUUAAGCGUCUUGAUCUAUCUCUAUAGAUCUUGAUGCCCAAUAUAUAAGCAGCUUCACCGAGGUCUUUCAUUGAAAAAUUCUUAUUCAAGUAUCCUUUUUUCAGAAAUUCAGUAUCAUUUCGGAUCAACAAUAUAACAUCUACAUAUAAUAUCAGAAAUGCUACGGAGCUCCCACUCACUUUCUUGUAAAUACAGGCUUCUCCAAAAGUCUGUAUAAAACCAUAUGCUUUGAUCACACUAUCAAAGCGUAUAUUCCAACUCCGGGAGGCUUGCACCAGUCCAUAAAUGGAUCGCUGGAGCUUGCACACUUAGUUAGUACCUUUUGGAUCGACAAAACCUUCUGGUUGCAUCAUAUACAACUCUUCUUUAAGAUAUCCAUUAAGGAAUGCAGUUUUGACAUCCAUUUGCCAAAUUUCAUAAUCAUAAAAUGCGGCAAUUGCUAACAUGAUUUGGACGGACUUAAGCAUUGCUAUAGGUGAGAAGGUCUCAUCGUAGUCAACUGCUUGAACUUGUCGAAAACCUUUUGCAACAAGUCGAGCUUUGUAGAUAGUAAUAUUACCAUCAACAUCAGUCUUCUUCUUGAAGAUCCAUUUAUUCUCUAUGGCCUGCCGAUCAUCGGGCAAGUCAACCAAAGUCCAUACUUUGUUCUCAUACAUGGAUCCCAUCUCAGAUUUCAUGGCCUCAAGCCAUUUUGCGGAAUAUGGGCUCAUCAUCGCUUCCUCAUAGUUCGUAGGUUCGUCAUGGUCAAGUAACAUGACUUCCAGAACAGGAUUACCGUACCACUCUGGUGCGGAUCUUACUCUGGUUGACCUACGAGAUUCGGUAGUAACUUGAUCAGAAGUUUCAUAAUUAUCAUCAUUAGCUUCCUCACUUACUGGUGUAGGAAUCACUUGAACUGAUUUGAGUGAUGAACUACUUUCCAAUAAGGGAGAAGGUACAAUUACCUCGUCAAGUUCUACUUUCCUCCCACUCACUUCUUUCGAGAGAAACUCCUUCUCCAGAAAGGAUCCAUUCUUAGCAAUGAAUAUCUUGCCUUUGGAUUUGUGAUAGAAGGUGUACCCAACAGUCUCCUUUGGGUAUCCUAUGAAAGACACAUUUCUUCGAUUUGGGUUUGAGCUUAUCAGGUUGAAGCUUUUUCACAUAAGCAUCACAGCCCCAAACUUUAAGAAACAACAACUUGGGUUUCUUGCCAAACCACAGUUCAUAAGGUGUCAUCUGAACGGAUUUAGAUGGUGCCCUAUUUAACGUGAAUGCAGCUGUCUCUAAAGCAUAACCCCAAAACAAUAGCGGUAAAUCAGUGAGAGACAUCAUAGAUCGCAUCAUAUCUAAUAAAGUGCGGUUACGACAUUCGAACACACCAUUAUGUUGUGGUGUUUCAGGUGGCGUGAGUUGCGAAACUAUUCCGCAUUGUUUCAAAUGAAGUCCAAACUCAUAACUCAAAUAUUCACCUCCACGACCAGAUCGCAGAAAUUUGAUUUUCUUGUUACGAUGAUUUUCCACUUCACUCUGAAAUUCUUUGAACUUUUCAAAUGUUUUAGACUUGUGUUUCAUUAAGUAGAUAUUCCCAUAUCUGCUCAAAUCAUCUGUGAAGCUGAGAAAAUAACGAUAUCUGCUGUGAGCUUCAAUGUUCAUUGGACCACAUACAUCAGUAUGUAUGAUUUCCAAUAACUCUGUUGCUCGCUCCAUUGUUCCAGAGAACGAAGUUUUAGUCAUCUUGCCCAUGAGGCAUGGUUCGCAAGUACCAAGUGAUUCAUAAUCAAGUGAUUCCAGAAGUCCAUCAGAAUGGAGUUUCUUCAUGCGCUUUACACCAAUAUGACCUAAACGACAGUGCCACAAAUAAGUUGCACUAUCAUUAUCAACUCUGCAUCUUUUGGCUUCAAUACUAUGAACAUGUGUAUCACUACUAUCAAGAUUUAGUAAAAAUAGACCACUCAUCAAGGGUGCAUGACCAUAAAAGAUAUUACUCAUAUAAAUAGAACAACCAUUAUUCUCUGAUUUAAAUGAAUAACCGUCUCACAUCAAACAAGAUCCAGAUAUAAUGUUCAUGCUCAACGCUAGCACCAAAUAACAAUUAUUUAGGUCUAAAACUAAUCCCGAAGGUAGAUGCAGAGGUAGCGUGCCGACAGCGAUCACAUCGACUUUGGAACCAUUUCCCAUGCGCAUUGUCACCUUGUCCUUAGCCAAUCUUCGCUUAAUCCGUAGCCCCUGUUUCGAGUUGCAAAUGUUAGCAACUGAACCAGUAUUAAAUACCUAGGCACUACUGCGACCAUUAGUAAGGUACACAUCAAUAACAUGUAUAUCAAAUAUACCUUUCACUUUGCCAUCCUUCUUCUCCGCCAAAUACUUGGCGCAGUUCCGUUUCCAGUGACCAGUCCCUUUGCAGUAGAAGCACUCAGUCUCAGGCUUACGUCCAGACUUGGUUUUUUCACUUGAGCAGCAACUGGCUUGCUGCUCUUCUUGAAGUUCCCUUUCUUCCCUUUACCUUUUUUUCUUGAAACUGGUGGUCUUGUUGACCAUCAACACUUGAUGCUCCUUCUUGAUUUCUACCUCCGCAGCUUUUAGCAUUGCGAAGAGCUCAAGAAUCGUCUUAUCCAUCCCUUGCAUUUAUAGUUCAUCACGAAGCUCUUGUAGCUUGGUGGCAGUGAUUGAAGAACUCUGUCAAUGAAACUAUCAUCAGGAAGAUUAACUCCCAGCUGACUCAAGUGGUUGUGGUACCCAGACAUUCUGAGUAUAUGUUCACUGACAGAACUAUUCUCCUCCAUCUUGCAGCUAUAGAACUUAUUGGAGACUUCAUAUCUCUCAAUCCAGGAAUUUGCUUGAAAUAUUAACUUCAACUCCUGGAACAUCUCAUAUGCCCCAUGACGUUCAAAACGUCGUUGAAGUCCCGGUUCUAAGCCGUAAAGCAUGGCACACUUAACUAUCGAGUAGUCAUCAGCUUUGCUCUGCCAGGUGUUCAUAACAUCUGGCGUUGCUCCUACAGCGGAUUUGUCACCUAGCGGUGCUUCCAGGACGUAAUUCUUCUGUGCAGCAAUGAGGAUAAUCCUCAAGUUACGGACCCAUUCCGUGUAGUUGCUAUGAUCAUCUUUCAACUUAGCUUUCUCUAGGAACACAUUAAAAUUCAACGGAACAACAGCACGGGCCAUCUAUCUACAACAACAUAGACAUGCAAAAUACUAUCAGGUACUAAGUUCAUGAUAAAUUAAAGUUUAAUUAAUCAAAUUACUUAAGAACUCCCACUUAGAUAGACAUCUCUCUAAUCAUCUAAGUGAUCACGUGAUCCAUAUCAACUAAACCAUGUCCAAUCAUCACGUGAGAUGGAGUAGUUUUCAAUGGUGAACAUCACUAUGUUGAUCAUAUCUACUAUAUGAUUCACGCUCGACCUUUCGGUCUUAGUGUUCCGAGGCCAUAUCUGCAUAUGCUAGGCUCGUCAAGUUUAACCCGAGUAUUCUGCGUGUGCAAAACUGGCUUGCACCCGUUGUAUGUGAACGUAGAGCUUAUCACACCCGAUCAUCACGUGGUGUCUCGGCACGACGAACUGUAGCAACGUUGCAUACUCAGGGAGAACACUUACACCUUGAAAUUUAGUGAGAGAUCAUCUUAUAAUGCUACCGUCGAACUAAGCAAAAUAAGAUGCAUAAAGGAUAAACAUCACAUGCAAUCAAUAUAAAUGAUAUGAUAUGGACAUCAUCAUCUUGUGCCUUUGAUCUCCAUCUGCAAAGCACCGCCAUGAUCACCAUCGUCACCGGCUUGACACCUUGAUCUCCAUCGAAGCAUCGUUGUCGUCUCACCAACUAUUGCUUCUAUGACUAUCGCUACCGCUUAGUGAUAAAGUAAAGCAAUUACAUGGCGAUUGCAUUUCAUACAAUGAAGCGACAACCAUAUAGCUCCUGCCAGUUGCCGAUAACUAUGUUACAAAACAUGAUCAUCUCAUACAAUAAAAUAUAGCAUCAUGUCUUGACCAUAUCACAUCACAAUAUGCCUUGCAAAAACAAGUUAGAUGUCCUCUACUUUGUUGUUGCAAGUUUUACGUGGCCGCUACGGGCUGAGCAAGAACCGUUCUUACCUACGCAUCAAAAACCACAACGCGGUAUAGUGAUUGCUUUUUGAUCUUCAGAAAGAACCCUGUUCAUUGAAUCCGAUUCAACUAAAGCUGGAGAAACAGACACCCACUAGCCACCUGUGUGCGAAGCACGUCGGUAGAACUGAUACAUCCAUUUUGCAUCAUGCUUUUAUAUCGAUAUUUAUUGCAUUAUGGGCUGUUAUUACACAUUAUGUCACAAUAAUUAUGCCUAUUCUCUCUUAUUUUACAAGGUUUACAUGAAGAGGGGGAAUGCCGGCAGCUGGAAUCCUGGGCUGGAAAAGGAGCAAAUAUUAGAGACCUAUUCUGCACAUCUCCAAAAGUCCUGAAACUUCACGGGAGCAUGUUUCAGAAUAUAUAAAAGAUAUUGGGCGAAAGAAGUACCAGAGGGGGGCCACCCACCGUCCACGAGGGUGGGGGGUGUGCCCUACCGCCUGGGCACGCCCCCUGCCUUGUGGGCCCCCUGGUGGCCCUCUGAUGCCCAUCUUUGGCUAUAUGGAGUCUUUCGUCGAGGAAAAAAAUGAUAAGCUAGCUCACGGGACGAAACUCCGCCGCCACGAGGUGGAACCUUGGCGGAACCAAUCUAGGGCUCCGGCGGAGCUGUUCUGCCGGGGAAACUUCCCCCCGGGAGGGGGAAAUCAUCACCAUCGUCAUCACCAACGAUCCUCUCACCGGGAGGGGGUCAAUCUCCAUCAACAUCUUCACCAGCACCAUCUCAUCUCAAACCCUAGUUCAUCUCUUGUAUCCAAUCUUUGUAUCCAAACCUCAGAUUGGUACCUGUGGGUUGCUACUAGUGUUGAUUACUCCUUGUAGUUGAUGCUAGAUGGUUUACUUGGUGGAAGAUCAUAUGUUCAGAUCCAUUAUGCAUAUUAAUACCCCUCUGAUUAUGAACAUGAAUAUGCUUUGUGAGUAGUUACGUUUGUUCCUGAGGACAUGAGAGAAGUCUUGCUAUAAGUAGUCAUGUGAAUUUGGUAUUCGUUCGAUAUUUUGAUGAGAUGUAUGUUGUCAUCCCUCUAGUGGUGUCAUGUGAACGUCGACUACAUGACACUUCACCAUUGUUUGGGCCUAGGGGAAGGCAUUGGGAAGUAAUAAGUAGAUGAUGGGUUGCUAGAGUGACAGAAGCUUAAACCCUAGUUUAUGAGUUGCUUCGUAAGGGGUGAUUUGGAUCCAUAUGUUUCAUGCUAUGGUUAGGUUUACCUUAAUACUUAUGUUGUAGUUGCGGAUGCUUGCAAUAGGGGUUAAUCAUAAGUGGGAUGCGUGUCCAAGUAAGGACAAUACCCAAGCACCGGUCCACCCACAUAUCAAAUUAUCAAAGUACCGAACGCGAAUCAUAUGAACGUGAUGAAAACUAGCUUAACGAUAAUUCCCAUGUGUCCUCGGGAGCGCUUUCAUUCAUAUAAGAGUUUGUCCAGGCUUGUCCUUUGCUACAAAAAAGAUUGGGCCAUCUUGCUGCACCUUAUUUAGUUUUAUUACUUGCUACUCAUUACAAAUUACCUUAUCACAAAACUAUCUGUUACCGAUAAUUUCAGUCCUUGCAGAGAAUACCUUACUGAAAACUGCUUAUCAUUUCCUUCUGCUCCUCGUUGGGUUCGACACUCUUACUUAUCGAAAAGGCUACGAUAGAUCCCCUACACUUGUGGGUCAUCAAGAUUCUUUUCUAGCGCCUUUGGUAGGUUUAAUUUGGUAAGGGAAAAUUUAUAUAGUGUGCUGAAAUUUACUUUCACUUGUUACUAUGGAACAUAAUCCUUUGAGGGGCUUGUUCGGGAUAUCUUCACCCCGACCAGUAGAGCAAAGAGUUGCUCCUCAAUCUACUGAACCUACUGAAAAUGUUUACUUUGAAAUUCCUUUGGGUAUGAUAGAGAAACUGCUAACUAAUCCUUCCACAGGUGAUGGAACAUUACAUCCCGAUUUGCACCUAAUCUAUGUGGAUGAAGUUUGUGGAUUAUUUAAGCUUGCAGGUAUGCCCGAGGAUGUUAUCAAGAAGAAGGUCUUCCCUUUAUGUUUGAAGGGAGAUGCAUUGACAUGGUUGAGGCUAUGUGAUGAUAUUGGAUCAUGGAACUACCAACGAUUGAAAUUGAAAUUUCAUCAGAAGUUUUAUCCUAUGCAUCUUGUUCAUCGUGAUCGUAAUUAUAUAUAUAAUUUUUGGCCUCGCAAAGGAGAAAGCAUCGCUCAAGCUUGGGCAGGCUUAAGUCAAUGCUAUAUUCAUUCCCCAAUCAUGAGCUCUCAAAAGAAAUGAUUAUUCAAAAAAUUUAUGCUCGGCUUUCUCUCAGUAAUCGCUCCAUGUUCGAUACUUCUUGUAUUGGAUCUUUUAUGAUGAAGACUAUUGAAUUCAAAUGGGAUUUAUUGGAAAGAAUUAAACGCAACUCUGAAGAUUGGGACCUCGACGAAAGUUAGGAAUCAGGUAUAACACCUAAGUUUGAUUCUGUUAAAUCUUUUAUGGAUACCGAUGCUUUCCGUGAAUUUAGCACUAAAUAUGGACUUGACUCUGGGAUAGUAGCUUCUUUCUAUGAAUCCUUUGCUACUCAUGUUGAUCUCCCUAAUGAGAAGUGGUUUAAAUAUAAUCCUCCCAUUGAAGUAAAAGUAGUUGCACCUAUUAAAGUUGAAGAAAAGACUAUCACUUAUAAUGAUCCUGUUGUUCCUACUGCUUAUAUUGAGAAACCACCUUUCCCUGUUAGAAUAAAGGGUCAUGCUAAAGCUUCAAUUGUGGUUAACAAAAGUAAUAUUAAGACAUCUAAACCCCGUGAGCAAAUUAAAGUUGAACCUAGUGUUGCUAUGGUUAAAGAUCUCUUGGCCGAUAAUAUUGAUGGGCAUGUUAUUUACUUCUGCAAUGAAUCUGCUAGAAUUGCUAGACCAGAUACUAAAAAUAAACAUAGACCUGUUGUAGGCAUGCCUGUUAUUUCUGUUGAAAUAGGAGAUCAUUGCUAUCAUGGCUUAUGUGAUAUGGGUGCUAGUUGAUACGUCUCCGUCGUAUCUACUUUUCCAAACACUUUUGCCCUUGUUUUGGACUCUAACUUGUAUGAUUUGAAUGGAACUAACCCGGACUGAUGCUGUUUUCAGCAGAAUUGCCAUGAUGUUGUUUUAUGUGCAGAAAACAAAAGUUCUCAGAAUGACCUGAAACUCCACAGAAUAUCUUACAAUAAAUAAUAAAAAAUCCUCACCAAAGAUGAAGACCAGGGGGGCCACACCCUGUCCACGAGGGUGGGGGGCGCCCCCCUAGGGCGCCCCCUACCUCGUGGCCCCCCUGGAGACCUCCCGACUCCAACCCCAACUCUAUAUAUCUGCUUCCGGGGAGAAAAAAUAGGAGAGAAGAAAUCAUCGUGUUUUACGAUACGGAGCCACCUCCAAGCCCUAAAACCUCUCGGGAGGGUUGAUCUGGAGUCCGUUCUGGGCUUCGGAGAGGGGGAUUCGUCGUCGUCGUCAUCAUCAACCAUCCUCCAUCACCAAUUUCAUGAUGCUCACCGCCGUGCGUGAGUAAUUCCAUCGUAGGCUUGCUGGACGGUGAUGGGUUGGAUGAGAUUUAUCAUGUAAUCGAGUUAGUUUUGUUAGGGUUUGAUCCCUAGUAUCCACUAUGUUCUGAGAUUGAUGUUGCUAUGACUUUGCUAUGCUUAAUGCUUGUCACUAGGGCCCGAGUGCCAUGAUUUCAGAUCUGAACCUAUUAUGUUUUCAUCAAUAUAUGAGAGUUCUUGAUCCUAUCUUGCAAGUCUAUAGUCACCUAUUAUGUGUUAUGAUCCGUUAACCUCGAAGUGAUAAUAAUCGGGAUACUUACCGGUGAUGACCGUAGUUUGAGGAGUUCAUGUAUUCACUAUGCGCUAAUGCUUUGUUCCGGUUCUCUAUUAAAAGGACGCCUUAAUAUCCCUUAGUUUCCAUUAGGACCUCGCUGCCACGGGAGGGUAGGACAAAAGAUGUCAUGGAAGUUCUUUUCCAUAAGUACGUAUGACUAUAUUCAGAAUACAUGCCUACAUUACAUUGAUGAAUUGGAGCUAGUUCUGUGUCACCCUAUGUUAUGACUGUUACAUGAUGAACCACAUCCGACAUAAUUAUCCAUCACUGACCCGAUGCCUACGAGCUUUCCAUAUACUGGUUUACGCUUAUUUACUUUCCCGUUGCUAUUGUUACAAUCACUACAUAAUACCAAAAAUAUUACUUUGCUUUCAUUACUCUUUUGUUACCGUUACCACCACUAUCGUAUUACUUUGCUACUAAACACUCUGCUGCAGAUACUAAGUUUCCAGGUGUGGUUGAAUUGACAACUCAGCUGCUAAUACUUGAGAAUAUUCUUUGGCUCCCCUUGUGUCGAAUCAAUAAAUUUGGGUUGAAUACUCUACCCUCGAAAGCUGUUGUGAUCCCCUAUACUUGUGGGUCAUCAAGACUAAUUUCUAGCGCCGUUGCCGGGGAGCAUAGCUCUAUUCUUUAAGUCACUUGGGAUUUAUAUCUGCUGGACACUAUGAAGAAUUUGAAAGAUGCUAAGACAACAAUUUAUCCCUCAACUACGAGGGGAGGUAAGGAACUGCCAUCUAGCUCUGCACUUGAUUCACCUUCUGUUAUGAGUAAGCUUGUGGCACCUAAACCUGCUUCUGCUAUUCGUUCUGAUAUGUCGCAUGUUAUUGAUGAUGCUACUUCUUCUAUACAUGAUACUUAUGAUGAAACUACUUCUAUGCUUGAUACUACUGUGCCACUUGGUGAUUUUCUCGAGGAACGACUUGCUAGGGCUAGAGAGAUUGAAAAUAUUGAAUCUGAUUAUGAUGAUGAAAGUGAUGAUGAAGAAUCACUUGUUAUUCCUAAGGGUUAUUUAUUUGAUCAAGAAGCUUCUUUAGCUAUUUUAGCUUGCAAAGAUAGAUAUGAACUCAAAAGGUUAUUAGCUAAAUGGAAUAAGCAAUCUCUAAAUGCUAGGAUGAAACCUCACCCUGCUUUUGCUACUUCACCUAUCUGUGUUACUGAUAAGGAUUAUGAAUUCUCUGUUGAUCCUGAUAUAAUUACUUUGGUUGAAUCUGAUCCUUUUCAUGGCUAUGAAUCUAAAACUGUUGUGGCACAUCUCACUAAAUUAAAUGAUAUAGCCACCCUGUUCACUAAUGAUGAGAGAUCUCGCUACUUUUAUAUCCUUAAAAUAUUUCCAUUCUCAUUAAAGGGUGAUGCUAAGAUAUGGUUUAAUUCUCUUGAUCCUGGUUGUGUGCGUAGUCCCCAGGAUAUGAUCUAUUACUUCUUUGCUAAAUAUUUCCCUGCUCAUAAGAAACAAGCUGCUUUAAAGGAAAUAUACAACUUUGUGCAAAUUAAAGAAGAGAGUCUCCCACAAGCUUGGGGGAGGCUUCUCAAGUUACUUAAUGCUUUGCCUGAUCAUCCUCUUAAGAAAAAUGAAAUACUUGAUAUUUUUUAUAAUGGACUAACCGAUGCUUCUAGAGAUUACCUGGAUAGUUGUGUUGGUUCUCUUUUCAGGGAAAGAACACCGGAUGAAGCUGAAAUCUUAUUGAAUAAUACGUUGACAAAUGAAAAUAAUUGGGCACCUCCUGAGCCAGCUCCUGCUCCAAUUAAUGAUCCUAUUCCUAAACCAACUCCGAAGAAGAGAGGUGUUCUAUUUCUCAGUCCCGAAGAUAUGCAAGAGGCAAAGAAAUCUAUGAAAGAAAAAUGUAUUAAAGCUGAAGAUGUUCAGAAUUUACCUCCUAUUGAAGAAAUACAUGGUCUUAAUUUACCGCCUAUUGAAGAAACAUAUGAUCUUAAUCCUUUAUUUAUUGAAGAACCUCCAGACCUCGAUAAACCGACAUAGGUAGUAAAGGUAAAUUCUCUCUAUAGAUAUGACAGAGCUGAAAUUCCUCCUACUAAAAUUGCUAGUCAGUGCUUGGAUGAGUUUGAUAAUUUUAUGUUUAAGCAAGAAGACUUCAAUGCUUAUUUUGGUAGACAAUUAAAACAAGAUGCUGAUAUGAUUAAAUACUUGGGUGAUUAUAUGGCUAAUAUUAGAGGUGAACUUAAACUUGUUAGCAAACAUGCUUCUAUGGUUACCACUCAAGUAGAACAAGUACUUAAAGCUCAAAAGGAAUUGCUCAAUGAGAUGAAUAGUAAGAAAAAUAAUUAUGCUGUUAAAGUGGCUACUAGAACUGGUAGAAUGACUCAGGAACCUUUGUAUCCUGAAGGCCACCCUAAGAGAAUUGAGCAAGAUUCUCAAAGAAAUAAAAUUGAUGCACCUAGUUCUUCUAAAAAGAAGAAAAAGAAAAAUGAUAGAAUUGUGCAAACUUCUAGUGAACCUAUUGGUGAACCACCUGAUAAUCCAAAUGAUAUCUCUAUGUCUGAUACUGAAACACAAUCUGGCAAUGAACAUGAACCUAAUGAAAAUUCUAAUGAUUAUGUUCAUAAUAAUGCUCAACCUAGUAAUGAUAAUGAUGUAGAAAUUGAACCUGCUGUUGAUCUUGAUAACCCACAAUCAAAGAAUCAACGUUAUGAUAAGAAAGACUUUGUUGCUAGGAAACAUGGUAAAGAAAGAGAACCUUAGGUUCAGAAACCCAUGCCUUUUCCUCCCAAACCAUCCAAGAAAAAGGAUGAUGAGGAUUUUGAGAGCUUUGCUGAAAUGAUUAGACCUAUCUUUUUGCGUAUGCGAUUGACUGAUAUGCUCAAAAUGAAUCCGUAUGCUAAGUACAUGAAAGAUAUUGUUACAAAUAAAAGAAAGAUACCAGAAGCUGAAAUUUCCACCAUGCUUGCUAAUUAUACUUGUAAGGGUGGAAUACCAAAGAAACUUGGAGAUCCAGGAGUACCUACUAUACCAUGCUCCAUUAAAAGAAACUAUGUUAAAACUGCUUUAUAUGAUCUUGGAGCCGGUGUUAGUGUUAUGCCUCUCUCUUUAUAUCAUAGACUUGACUUGAAUAAGUUGACACCUACUGAAACAUCUUUGCAAAUGACUGAUAAAUCAAUUGCUAUACCUGUCGGCAUUUGUGAGGAUGUGCCUGUUGUGGUUGCAAACGUUACUAUUUUAAUGGACUUUGUUAUUCUUGAUAUUCCUGAGGACGAUAGUAUGUCUAUUAUUCUUGGAAGACCUUCUCUUAAUACUGCAGGGGCUGUUAUUGAUUGCAACAAAGGCAAUGUCACUUUUCAUGUUAAUGGUAAUGAGCAUACGGUACACUUUCCGAGGAAACAACCUCAAGUUCAUAGUAUCAAUUCUAUCGGAAAAAUUCCAUUGAUUAUAUUUGGAGGUUUUGAAUUUCCUCUUCCUACUGUCAAGAAUAAAUAUGAUAUACUUAUUAUUGGGGAUGUACAUAUCCCCGUUGAGGUAACCUAGUGUUAUUCAAAAUUUCUCUGGUUUCAUGUUAAUCGGAAUGAGUUUGUUAACAAGACUUGAUCAACCUUGUUAGUGGAUUCCUUUUGAUGAGCAUGAGAUGGAUGAAACUAGAAGCACAACCUUCUGUACCCUCUCUAUACUUUCUGUUAUUUAGUUGAAAUAAAGUAAAAAUAAAUAAUUUGUCUGUCCGUUAUCUGAUUAUCCAUGCAAUAUAAAAAUACCUCGAAAAUAAAAGUUCUCCAAAUGCCCUGAAAACUAAAUAAGAUUUUUUUCUAGAAUAUUUGAGGAUUUAUGGAACAAAGAACACACCAGGGGGCCCAGCCACCUUGCCACGAGGGUGGAGGGUGCGCCUACCCCUCUAGGGCGCGCCCCCUGCCUCAUGGGCCCGCGGUGGCCCUCCUCCACUUAUUCCUGCACCCAUCCUCUUCUUCUUCCUCCCACAAACACGAAAAACCAACUCAAGCAUGAGUUCCAGCCCUCUUUGCUGCCAUUUUUGAUCUCCUUGCUCAAAGCACCUCUCACAAAACUGCUUGGGGAGAUUGUUCGUUGGUAUGUGACUCCUCCAUUGGUCCAAUUAGUUUUUGUUCUAGUGCUUUAUUCAUUGCAAAUUUUUGCUGCUUAGGUGACCCUGUUCUUGAGCUUGCAUGUCAAAUUUAUAUGGUCAAAAGUAGUUUUGAUGCAUGAUAAGGCUCCAGGCACUUGUAGGAGUGGUUGCUAUCAAUAUUAUUGAGUUUAGUUUACUUUUAUUUUGAAGUUACUAAAAAUUUCAGAAUUUUUCAGAAAAUGAUGAGGAGAUUAUUGAGGGACUCAUCGAGCCAAAGCUCGAAGGAAAAGACACCGAAGCCUAAGUAUAAUUUGCCGCGCACCGUGGAGGUUCGGGCGUGUGAAUGGCCUUCCGAGGAUUUCUUGAGAGCAGCCGAGAUAUGAAGAUUUUCAUGAAUUGGCUCAUAAUGCAGGCCUCACCGCUUUCCUCCACGACCAAUGCGAUCAGUAUCUCUUACUCACAAAUACCUUUGUGCAAAACUUUCAUUUUCAUUCUAGGAACUCACCACCUAUGGUGGAGUUUCAUUUAUAUGAUGAGCAUAAGGAGAUGUCACUUUAUGAUUUUUGUCAGAUUUGUUUAGUCCAUUUUGAGGGCAAGACAGAAGAACCACAUCAUGAUGAUGUGGAGGGAUUUAUUGAUACUAUCACUGUAGGGGAAACUAGGAAGGUUUCUGAUGCACGAAUCACUAGCAUACAUUUUCCUGUCUUACGUUACUUUGCAUUAUUUGCUAGUCGUUUCUUAAUUGGUCGCGGAAACUGUGAAAACCUUAGUAUGCCUGAUAUUAUUAUUUUGCUCCAAGGUUUAUACAGUGAUAACACUUUUAGUAUGGGCGGUAUUAUUGCUAAACGGUUAAGUCUGAACCGUACAAAGGGCCCCAUCUUUGGAGGCAUCUAUGCUACACGCCUAGCUGCACAUUUUAACAUACCUAUUAGGCAUGCUGAGAAGGAAGAAAAAGUGCUGCCUCGUGUUUAUCUAGAUUAUAAAAGUAUGGUGGCACAUGAUUUUAUUAUUAAGAAUAGGGCAGGAGAGCUUAAAUAUCAAUUGUUCUUUAAUAAACAUCAUCCUGAGACUAUUACCUUGCCUGCUCCUUCUUUGUUUGAUUUGACUGUAGGCACGUACCUUGUUCCGUUGACGGCUAUCCACGCCUACCGGAACCCUGCACCAGCCGAGGAGCCAGAACCGGAACCACAAUUUGAUCCUUCACGACAGUCUAACUAUCAGUGGGAUCCGGAGAUGAUUGCCAGUCAGUGGCAAUCGGAGCCUUCUUCUUCCUCAUCACAGUACGACCCCAACAACUAUUAUUAUGGAUAUCAGCCAGGCCAGCCGUGGCCAUAGACCAACUUAGGCCAAAAGCCUAAGCUUGGGGGAGUACGUAUUUCUCACCGACACUAUAUUCAUGUUCACACACUCAUUGCUAAAUGUCGGUGUUCAUACUUUUUCAUUGUAUCAUCCAUGCUAGUUUAUUUCCUUUUAUGCUUUCUUCUUGUGUGUUUAAUAAACCUUAAGAAAAACAAAAAAAA